rnacentral:rRNA from 2 species
UGCAAGUCGAGCGGUAAGGCCCUUCGGGGUACACGAGCGGCGAACGGGUGAGUAACACGUGAGCAACCUGCCCCUGACUCUGGGAUAAGCGGUGGAAACGCCGUCUAAUACCGGAUACGACCUGUCGUCUCAUGACGGUGGGUGGAAAGUUUUUCGGUCAGGGAUGGGCUCGCGGCCUAUCAGCUUGUUGGUGGGGUAACGGCCUACCAAGGCGAUUACGGGUAGCCGGCCUGAGAGGGCGACCGGCCACACUGGGACUGAGACACGGCCCAGACUCCUGCGGGAGGCAGCAGUGGGGAAUAUUGCGCAAUGGGCGAAAGCCUGACGCAGCGACGCCGCGUGGGGGAUGACGGCCUUCGGGUUGUAAACCUCUUUUACCACCAACGCAGGCUUCCGGUUUUCCGGGGGUUGACGGUAGGUGGGGAAUAAGGACCGGCUAACUACGUGCCAGCAGCCGCGGUAAUACGUAGGGUCCGAGCGUUGUCCGGAAUUAUUGGGCGUAAAGAGCUCGUAGGCGGCGUGUCGCGUCUGCUGUGAAAGACCGGGGCUUAACUCCGGUUCUGCAGUGGAUACGGGCAUGCUAGAGGUAGGUAGGGGAGACUGGAAUUCCUGGUGUAGCGGUGAAAUGCGCAGAUAUCAGGAGGAACACCGGUGGCGAAGGCGGGUCUCUGGGCCUUACCUGACGCUGAGGAGCGAAAGCAUGGGGAGCGAACAGGAUUAGAUACCCUGGUAGUCCAUGCCGUAAACGUUGGGCGCUAGGUGUGGGGACUUUCCACGGUUUCCGCGCCGUAGCUAACGCAUUAAGCG